ACCCGGUUAGCUCAAUUGGCUAGAGCGUUGGACUGCAAGUUCCCCGCUUCAUCCCGUCUUGUAGCAUCAAGCUAACCGUUUCCACAGUUUACGGAAUCAUCCUAAUCAAUCCAAAGGCUACGAGUUCGACCCUCGUACUGGGUG
rnacentral:tRNA from 1 species